AUUGCCUCAGUAGCGGCGAGUGAAGCGGCAAAAGCUCAAAUUUGAAAUCUGGCGUCUUUGGCGUCCGAGUUGUAAUUUGAAGAAGGUAUCUUUGGGCCCGGCUCUUGUCUAUGUUCCUUGGAACAGGACGUCACAGAGGGUGAGAAUCCCGUGCGAUGAGAUGACCCGGGUCUGUGUAAAGUUCCUUCGACGAGUCGAGUUGUUUGGGAAUGCAGCUCUAAGUGGGUGGUAAAUUCCAUCUAAAGCUAAAUAUUGGCGAGAGACCGAUAGCGAACAAGUACAGUGAUGGAAAGAUGAAAAGAACUUUGAAAAGAGAGUGAAAAAGUACGUGAAAUUGUUGAAAGGGAAGGGCUUGAGAUCAGACUUGGUAUUUUGCAUGUUGCUCUCUCGGGGGCGGCCGCUGCGGUUUACCGGGCCAGCAUCGGUUUGGAGCGGCAGGAUAAUGGCGGAGGAAUGUGGCACGGCUUCUGCUGUGUGUUAUAGCCUCUGACGAUACUGCCAGCCUAGACCGAGGACUGCGGUUUUUACCUAGGAUGUUGGCAUAAUGAUCUUAAGUCGCCCGUCUUGAAACACGGACCAAGGAGUCUAACGUCUAUGCGAGUGUUUGGGUGUAAAACCCGUACGCGUAAUGAAAGUGAACGAAGGUGGGGGCCCAUUAGGGUGCACCAUCGACCGAUCCUGAUGUGUUCGGAUGGAUUUGAGUAAGAGCAUAGCUGUUGGGACCCGAAAGAUGGUGAACUAUGCCUGAAUAGGGUGAAGCCAGAGGAAACUCUGGUGGAGGCUCGUAGCGGUUCUGACGUGCAAAUCGAUCGUCGAAUUUGGGUAUAGG
rnacentral:rRNA from 1 species